rnacentral:tRNA from 1 species
GUCCGUGUAGCUCAAUUGGAUAGAGCGUCGCCCUCCGAAGGCGAAGGCUGUGGGUUCGAGUCCCGCCAUGGACG